UCGAGAAUCUUCCACAAUGGACGAAAGUCUGAUGGAGCGACGCCGCGUGGUGGACGAAGUCCUUCGGGACGUAAACACCUUUUAUGAGGGAAGAAUUUUAUUGACGGUACCUCAGGAAUAAGGGGUUGCUAAACUCGUGCCAGCAGCAGCGGUAAUACGAGUACCCCAAGCGUUAUCCGGAAUCAUUGGGCGUAAAGGGUGCGUAGGCGGUUGUGUUAGUCUCCUGUGAAAUCUCCCGGCUUAACCGGGA
rnacentral:rRNA from 1 species